rnacentral:rRNA from 1 species
AGUGGCGAACGGGUGAGUAACACGUGGGCAAUCUGCCCUGCACUCUGGGACAAGCCCUGGAAACGGGGUCUAAUACCGGAUACUGACCCUCGCAGGCAUCUGCGAGGUUCGAAAGCUCCGGCGGUGCAGGAUGAGCCCGCGGCCUAUCAGCUUGUUGGUGAGGUAAUGGCUCACCAAGGCGACGACGGGUAGCCGGCCUGAGAGGGCGACCGGCCACACUGGGACUGAGACACGGCCCAGACUCCUACGGGAGGCAGCAGUGGGGAAUAUUGCACAAUGGGCGAAAGCCUGAUGCAGCGACGCCGCGUGAGGGAUGACGGCCUUCGGGUUGUAAACCUCUUUCAGCAGGGAAGAAGCGAAAGUGACGGUACCUGCAGAAGAAGCGCCGGCUAACUACGUGCCAGCAGCCGCGGUAAUACGUAGGGCGCAAGCGUUGUCCGGAAUUAUUGGGCGUAAAGAGCUCGUAGGCGGCUUGUCGCGUCGGUUGUGAAAGCCCGGGGCUUAACCCCGGGUCUGCAGUCGAUACGGGCAGGCUAGAGUUCGGUAGGGGAGAUCGGAAUUCCUGGUGUAGCGGUGAAAUGCGCAGAUAUCAGGAGGAACACCGGUGGCGAAGGCGGAUCUCUGGGCCGAUACUGACGCUGAGGAGCGAAAGCGUGGGGAGCGAACAGGAUUAGAUACCCUGGUAGUCCACGCCGUAAACGGUGGGCACUAGGUGUGGGCAACAUUCCACGUUGUCCGUGCCGCAGCUAACGCAUUAAGUGCCCCGCC